rnacentral:piRNA from 1 species
UGGGAGUGCUCUUCUGAACCCAGAAGGCCAU